UACGUAGGUGACCAGCGUUGUCCGGAUUUACUGGGCGUAAAGAGCGCGCAGGCGGUCGUUCAAGUCGAGCGUGAAAGCCCCCGGCUCAACUGGGGAGGGUCACUCGAUACUGAUCGACUUGAAGGCAGGAGAGGGAAGCGGAAUUCCCGGUGUAGUGGUGAAAUGCGUAGAUAUCGGGAGGAACACCAGUGGCGAAGGCGGCUUCCUGGCCUGUUCUUGACGCUGAGGCGCGAAAGCUAGGGGAGCAAACGGG
rnacentral:rRNA from 1 species